rnacentral:rRNA from 1 species
UAAGCCGCGCGAUUGACAAUAGAUUGCUCCCAUGAUUCAGCGGCGGACGGGUGAGUAAUGCCUAGGAAUCUGCCUAUUAGUGGGGGACAACGUUUCGAAAGGAACGCUAAUACCGCAUACGUCCUACGGGAGAAAGCAGGGGACCUUAGGGCCUUGCGCUAAUAGAUGAGCCUAGGUCGGAUUAGCUAGUUGGUGGGGUAAAGGCUCACCAAGGCGACGAUCCGUAACUGGUCUGAGAGGAUGAUCAGUCACACUGGAACUGAGACACGGUCCAGACUCCUACGGGAGGCAGCAGUGGGGAAUAUUGGACAAUGGGCGAAGCCUGAUCCAGCCAUGCCGCGUGUGUGAAGAAGGUCUUCGGAUUGUAAAGCACUUUAAGUUGGGAGGAUGGGUUGUAGGUUAAUACUCUGCAAUUUUGACGUUACCGACAGAAUAAGCACCGGCUAACUCUGUGCCAGCAGCCGCGGUAAUACAGAGGGUGCAAGCGUUAAUCGGAAUUACUGGGCGUAAAGCGCGCGUAGGUGGUUUGUUAAGUUGGAUGUGAAAGCCCCGGGCUCAACCUGGGAACUGCAUCCAAAACUGGCAAGCUAGAGUACGGUAGAGGGUGGUGGAAUUUCCUGUGUAGCGGUGAAAUGCGUAGAUAUAGGAAGGAACACCAGUGGCGAAGGCGACCACCUGGACUGGUACUGACACUGAGGUGCGAAAGCGUGGGAGCAAACAGGAUUAGAUACCCUGGUAG